rnacentral:lncRNA from 1 species
AUGCUGUUUCACACGUACUGUGUGGUGAGGGAACAGGAAACAAUAAGAAGCGAUGAGGCUCCUGAUGUCACAGAUCUGCACAGUAGGAGAUAAUAAACCGCAGCCUGUUGAGUUUAAUGUCGUCAUCGGUCCAGACAGAGAAGCGGAUUCUCUCUGUCCGUUGCUUCAUCCCUGAACUGAGCCGCUGCCUCCUGCUGUGAUAAUGUCGUAGUGGUAUAAAUACAAAUAUCUAUGAGUAAAUAUCAAACUCAUUUACACAGUUACAAAGCAAAACAUGAAACUAAUGAAAACAAGUAAACAUGAAUGAAAGACAGAAAUUAACAAGAAGUGAAUUGAGGAAGUUGCAUUUUUCUUAAACAGGAAGAAGAAAUUCAUCAUCUGUAGGAAGCAGCAGGUCAGAGACUCGAUGGCUGAACUCUCAUGGAUUCAUGUGAUUUUACUUAUGAUCCUGAAGCUUCAGUUGAAAGCAACAUCUGGACAACAAUACUCCUACACCACUGUCACAACUGGAGCUGAUGUCACUUUGCCGUGUCAAGUUGUAAAAAUCCGCAGGAUGAUUGUGGGAAAAUUAACUGGAUCGUUAACGUACAGUGGAAAACAGCUUAAAGCUGGUUACGUCUGGAAAAAUAGACACAAAUAAAUUAGACCGACUAAGAUUAACAAAGACCUGUUCUUUGGUCAUAAAGAACGUCACCUUGAACGAUGUUGGUGUCUACACCUGCACACAAGAAGGUCAAAGGUCGUAUGGACUGGCUUAUUUGUCUGUUGUUACCAUGACUGAACAAACAACCGGUGAUCAAGUGACAGUCACCUGCUCUGUGUGGAGCUUCGGGAGUGAGUGUGAAUACAAAGUGAAGUGGCUGCGUGAGGAUAAAGAUGUGAACCCGGGGAGCAGCUCCAUUAAACGCUGCUCCACCAGCGUCUCCUUCACCAACACGUCCACGUCCACAGUAAACUCACUGACGUGUGAAGUGAUUGACCCUCGUCAGGAAGUUCUGCACUUCCCCUUCAGGCCUCGAGACUCUAACGGAGAAACAGCUUGGUGGUGGUUCAUCGUUGUGGCUUUGGUUGCACUGACUGUAACAGUCGUCGUCGUCGUGGUCAAAAAACAUAAAACAACAAAAGGAAAGAAAACACAGGAGGCUUCUGCUGAUGCUGAUGAUGGACUUUCUUACGCUUCCGUCGGCUUUAAGAAGCGCGGCGCUAAAGCUCAGGUCCAGAGUAGAGAUGAAGGUCAUGAAGAUGGUGGUGAUGACGUGACCUACAGCACAGUGAAGGCUGCGUCCUCUGCUGCCGCCAUUCAAAAGCCAACAAACGAGCUCAGAGUCUGACCCUGAUGUCUGGUGUUUUACGCGUGCUGUUUAAAUAAACUCUCCAGCUGUUUCCA